UACGUAGGGGGCAAGCGUUGUCCGGAUUUAUUGGGCGUAAAGAGCGUGUAGGCGGUUUGGUAGGUCCGUUGUGAAAACUCGAGGCUCAACCUCGAGACGCCGAUGGAAACCAUCAGACUAGAGUCCGGAAGAGGAGAGUGGAAUUCCUGGUGUAGCGGUGAAAUGCGCAGAUAUCAGGAGGAACACCGGUGGCGAAGGCGGGUCUCUGGGCCGAAACUGACGCUGAGGAGCGAAAGCGUGGGGAGCGAACAGG
rnacentral:rRNA from 1 species